rnacentral:tRNA from 1 species
GGUCGAUUAGCUCAGUCGGUUAGAGCGCUUCGCUGAUAACGAAGAGGUCCCCAGUUCAAGUCUGGGAUCGACCA